rnacentral:rRNA from 1 species
AUUGAACGCUGGCGGCAGGCCUAACACAUGCAAGUCGAGCGGAUGAAGGGAGCUUGCUCCUGGAUUCAGCGGCGGACGGGUGAGUAAUGCCUAGUAAUCUGCCUGGUAGUGGGGGAUAACGUCCGGAAACGGGCGCUAAUACCGCAUACGUCCUGAGGGAGAAAGUGGGGGAUCUUCGGACCUCACGCUAUCAGAUGAGCCUAGGUCGGCUUAGCUAGUUGGUGGGGUAAAGGCCUACCAAGGCGACGAUCCGUAACUGGUCUGAGAGGAUGAUCAGUCACACUGGAACUGAGACACGGUCAAGACUCCUAAGGGAGGCAGCAGUGGGGAAUAUUGGACAAUGGGCGAAAGCAUGAUCCAGCCAUGCCGAGUGUGUGAAGAAGGUCUUCGGAUUGUAAAGCACGUUAAGUUGGGAGGAAGGGCAGUAAGUUAAUACCUUGCUGUUUUGACGUUACCAACAGAAUAAGCACCGGCUAACUUCGUG